rnacentral:rRNA from 1 species
AGUAACGCGUGGGCAACCUGCCUUAUACAGGGGAUAACAGCUGGAAACAGCUGCUAAUACCGCAUAAGCGCACAGCGGCGCAUGACGCAGUGUGAAAACUGAGGUGGUAUAAGAUGGGCCCGCGUCUGAUUAGCUGGUUGGGAGGGUAACGGCCUACCAAGGCGACGAUCAGUAGCCGGCCUGAGAGGGCGGACGGCCACAUUGGGACUGAGACACGGCCCAGACUCCUACGGGAGGCAGCAG